GUGGGGAAUAUUGGACAAUGGGCGAAAGCCUGAUCCAGCCAUGCCGCGUGUGUGAAGAAGGUCUUCGGAUUGUAAAGCACUUUAAGUUGGGAGGAAGGGCAGUAAGUUAAUACCUUGCUGUUUUGACGUUACCGACAGAAUAAGCACCGGCUAACUUCGUGCCAGCAGCCGCGGUAAUACGAAGGGUGCAAGCGUUAAUCGGAAUUACUGGGCGUAAAGCGCGCGUAGGUGGUUUUGUAAGUUGGAGGUGAAAUCCCCGGGCUCAACCUGGGAACUGCCUCCAAAACUGCAGGACUAGAGUACGGUAGAGGGUAGUGGAAUUUCCUGUGUAGCGGUGAAAUGCGUAGAUAUAGGAAGGAACACCAGUGGCGAAGGCGACUACCUGGACUGAUACUGACACUGAGGUGCGAAAGCGUGGGGAGCAAACAGGAUUAGAUACCCCAGUAGUCC
rnacentral:rRNA from 1 species